rnacentral:misc_RNA from 1 species
GAUGAAGAACGUAGCGAAAUGCGAUAAGUAAUGUGAAUUGCAGAAUUCAGUGAAUCAUCGAAUCUUUGAACGCACAUUGCGCCCGCCAGUAUUCUGGCGGGCAUGCCUGUUCGAGCGUCAUUUCAACCCUCAAGCCCCAGCGGCCUGGUGUUGGGGACCGGCGACCUCGCCCGAGCCCGCCCUCCGGGGCGCGUGCCCGGUGCGUCCACCGCCCCCGAAAUGAAUUGGCGGCCUCGUCGCGGCCUCCUCUGCGUAGUAGCACAACCUCGCAAGCGGGAGCGCGACGCGGCCACUGCCGUAAAACGCCCAACUUUUUUAGAGUUGACCUCGGAUCAGGUAGGAAUACCCGCUGAACUUAAGCAUAUCAAUAAGCGGAGGA